rnacentral:rRNA from 1 species
UACGUAGGGUGCAAGCGUUGUCCGGAAUUAUUGGGCGUAAAGAGCUCGUAGGCGGUUCGUCGCGUCGGCUGUGAAAUCCCGAGGCUCAACCUCGGGUCUGCAGUCGAUACGGGCGGACUGGAGUUCGGCAGGGGAGACUGGAAUUCCUGGUGUAGCGGUGAAAUGCGCAGAUAUCAGGAGGAACACCGGUGGCGAAGGCGGGUCGCUGGGCCGAUACUGACGCUGAGGAGCGAAAGCGUGGGGAGCGAACAGG